rnacentral:rRNA from 1 species
UACGUAGGGUGCGAGCGUUGUCCGGAAUUACUGGGCGUAAGAGCUCGUAGGCGGUUUGUCGCAUCGUCCGUGAAAACUUGGGGCUCAACCCCAAGCUUGCGGGCGAUACGGGCAGACUUGAGUACUGCAGGGGAGACUGGAAUUCCUGGUGUAGCGGUGAAAUGCGCAGAUAUCAGGAGGAACACCGGUGGCGAAGGCGGGUCUCUGGGCAGUAACUGACGCUGAGGAGCGAAAGCGUGGGUAGCAAACAGG